ensembl:lncRNA
GAGAAACUAAGCAAGUGAUUCCAUUCAAAUAAAUUAAAUGCAAAGUCACUACAAUUGGGAGGUUUAGAUUAAAGAAGGCCUUUUCAGGUGUGGUUAACCACAGAGUGAGGACGCGAGCUCUAAGCUGGACUUGGCAGCAGAAGAGAGAAGUUGGGCCACUUGAUGUGAACAGCCGACUCAUUGGAAAAGACCGUGAUUGGGAAAGAUUGAAGGCAAAAAGGAGGAGACUCCCAUAGCCUCUCCUAAAAAUUAACCAGAUCCAGUCAUUGUCCAUACAACUUGAUUUUGAAUACUGGUAAAAUCAGAGUUGGGCUUCCCUGGUCGCUCAGUGGGAAAGAAUCUGCCUGCCAAUGUAGCAGAGCCCAGUGGAAAAGAAUCCAUCUGCCAAUGCAGGGGACAUGGGUUCGAUCCCUGGUCCAGGAAUAUUCCACAUGCUGAGGGGCAAUUAAGCCCAUGGACCAUAACUACUGAGCCGUACUCUGGAGGCCUCGAGCCACAACCACUGAGCCCAGGUACUGCAGCUACUGAAGCCAGCACCCCAGAGCCCAUUUUCUGUAACAAGAGAAGCCACUGCAAUGGAAAGCCUGCACACUGCGAUGAAGAGUAGCCCAGCUCACCGCAACUAGAGGAAGCCUGCAUGCACCAAUGAAGACCCAGUGCGACCAAAAAUAAAAUUUAAAUUAAAUUCUCUGUGCUUCAGUUUUCAUAACCAUGAAAAGGGGACCAUCAUACCUAUUAUGUAGGGUUGUUAUGAGGCUGAAAUGAGAUAAUGUUGCAAAGUACUUCGUAUAUAGUAGGUACGCGUAAAUGAUGCUUAGUCUUACCUAACAACUCUCUUUCCUUUGGAGAUAAGAACUAACUUGUUUUGUGCAGUACUGUGCUGUGUGCUGCUUCCUGGCUACAGACUGUCUACAUGUCAUAACAGCUACUGUUGACUAAAUACAUAAAAUGUGAC